CAGUGAGACCUGCCUGGAAGAGGUGACCCCAGGGUGAAUCUCAAAGCAUGACCAGGCACAGCAGCCCUCUGCCUAUUGAAUUCACUGAUUUGCUGAGGGCUGAGGGUGGAGAACAACUCAAAUGGAAAAGCUUACCUAGCAGAUCACACACAGGUGUUCCCUGACAAGUUCAACAAGAGAGGUUAAAUCCCUGGAGGAACCCAGGAUUCAGCGCAUCAAUAAAAGGGCCAUGGGACAAGUCCUUGGGGAAGUUGCAUUCCACCUCUGCUCCAAGCUCCAAGCUGUUGGAAGACUAAUCUUGGCAAAAUGGCAAGCUGCCAUGGUUCCUGCCCGAGCUGUGAUAGUCUUGUUUCUUCCCUGUAUUGUGCCUUUCUUUGGGCUGUAAGGGGCUGAGAAUUGAUCCCUCCAGGAAGAAGGGAUCAGACAAGAAAAUUUGACCAAGACCACCCAAUGGGCCAAGAUUCAGAUCCCCUAUAAGUCUAAAAUGAGUUCCAGUGAAGGUUACGUUCAGGGAUACAUGUCCAGCACCUGGGCUGGAGAUACAUCUGAGGUCAGCGGGACGUGAUGCUCAUGCCUGUAAUCCCAGCACUUUGGGAAGCUGAGACCAGAGGAUUGCUUCAGGCCAAGAGUUUAAAGCCAGCCAGGGCAACAAAGAAAGACCCUGGAGGAAGUAGAAAAGUUUCUCUUCGAAGUUUCCUUUCUUGUUAAAGAAUAAAUCAUAAGUGUUAGAAAUAAUAGUUUGUUUUAAAGACUUUCUUCAAAGCCUUCUUGCUUUUUGCUAAGAACUCUUUGUUAAGCCCUAUCCUAUGCAGGUGUUAGACACGCUCACAGGCACGUAGUACCUCCUUCCUUGUGCUUUAACCAAGAUGUUUAUUACUUUUUUAAGUCCUUUCACAAGCAAUUUCCUGUCCCUUCCCUAUUUGGAAUUCCUCUUUUCCUUCUGUUCUCCAUUGCUUUUACCUGUUUAGAAAAGUUUUAAGUUGUUAGCCAAUCAGGUGUUUUUAGAUUGUGAGGUCUGGCUCCAAUCAACAGAGAUCAGACACAGGAGUAAGGAUGACCCCAAAUGCGUAAAGGAUAAAUAUGUCUGCUUUUCCUUUGUUAGUUGUACCCUCAGGGCAAGAUGGCUAAUGGGAGCACCCUUUCUGCAGAAAGUAAAAUUGCCUUGUUGGGAGAUCUUUGUCUCAGCGACGAUUUUUCAUUGCAGCACUGAGCAUCUGUUUCCAACAACCCUGUUGCUACAAAAUUAAAAAAAAGAAAUAGCCGAGCAUGGUGGCACACACCUGGAGAAGACUUCUGGGGAAACGAACCAUAUCCCAGUUCUGCAAAGCGGUAUUGCUAGGAGCCCAAACAAUACACAAAGGUCUCCAUCCAUUGUGGAAGUCUGUUUUCAUCAUUUCUUCAUCAACUAUUUAACAUGCAGCUUCUGCAAGGCCUAUGAGAAGCUGGUGGAGCUAUAGAGUAGGCAAGAAUGCCUGCUAUGGGGACAUUUCCCUGUCCUGUCAAAGAGCCAUGGGAAGAUGUGCCUGCUUCCCCUUUGCCUUCUGCCAUGAUUGUGACUUUCCUGAGGCCUCCAGCCAUGCUUCCCGUACAGUCUGCAGAACUGUGAAGCACAGAGAAGCUGGACGCCCUGCCCAAGGCCAAGGCUGCAGUCACCAGGGGCACAAGGUUGAGCACAUGCUCUAUGUCGCUGCUGUUCAACCCUGGCGUCUUGCUGGAUUCACUGGACAGUUUGUAAAAUACUGAGGGUUGAGUUCCACUCCUUGAGAUUCCCAGUGCACUGGCCAGGAGCACCUGGGCACAGGGAGUCAUCAAGGUGCUCCAGGUGAAGGUCAUUCUAGCCAGGUUUGCAAACCACUGUUCCAGGGCCAGUCCAGCUGAAGUUCGAACUCUAACUUCUCAACCCUUGGACAUGCUGCCUGCUCAGACUCCGGGGAGCCGCACACUCCGCUGGCCACACUGAGUGAGCCCUGUGCUCUCCAGCUUCUUAGAUGCACCUGUCUAACCUCCCUGACCACACGGUAGAAGCUCUGAGAGCCAAGGCUCAAGGCCUCCACCACUAACUGCCACUGGGCACUAAGUGCUUAAUACAAACUCUAGUAAUCAACAGUCACUUUCUGUUUUUGGUUUUUGUUUUUUUUUUUGAGAUGGAGUCUCCCACUGUCGCCCAAGCUGGAGUGCAGUGGCUCAAUCUUGGCUCACUACAACCUCUGCCUCCCUAGUUCAAGCAAUUCUCCUGCCUCAGCCUCCUGAGUAGCUGGGACUACAGGUACCCAUCACCAUGCCCAGCUAAUAUUUUUGUAUUUUUAGUAGAGAUGGGGUUUCACCAUGUUGGGCAGGCUGGUCUUGAACUCCUGACUUUGUGAUUCGCCCACCUCUGCCUCUCAAAGUGCUGAGAUUACACACGUGAGCCACUGUGCCUGGCCUGUUUUUGUUUUUUUGAGACAGAGUCUCACUCUGUCACCCAGGCUGGAGUGCAGUGGCACGAUCUUGGCUCACUGCAACCUCCGUCUCCCAUGUUCAAGUGAUUCUACUGCCUCAGCCUCCUGAGUAGUUGGGAUUACAGGUGUGUGCCACCAUGCCUGACUAAUUUCUUUGCAUUUUUAGUAGAAACUGGGGUUCACCAUGUUGGCCAGGCUGGUCUUGAACUCCUGAUCUUAUGUAGUCCACCCACCUUUGCCUCCCAAAAUGCUGAGAUUACAGGCGUGAGGCACCGUGCCCGGCCUAACAGUUUCUUUCUUUUCAGAUCCAGAGAAAUACCCCUGGGCCUUGUUGCCAUGUGAAAUUUGUUGUCUACCAGACCCCAGAGGCCCGCAGUUCUUAGUGGGCAGCAAGAGCAGAAGCGGGUGGCUCACCUUCUG